ACUCCUACGGAAGGCAGCAGUGGGGAAUCUUAGACAAUGGGGCGCAAGCCUGAUCUAGCCAUGCCGCGUGAGCGAUGAAGGCCUUAGGGUUGUAAAGCUCUUUCAGGGGGGAAGAUAAUGACUGUACCCCCAGAAGAAGCCCCGGCUAACUCCGUGCCAGCAGCCGCGGUAAU
rnacentral:rRNA from 1 species